AAAAGAAACAAGAAACUGGGAGACGACAGCGGAGUAUGUGCAGCGUAGUGUUGAUGAUGGAGGAGGAGGAGGAGGAGGAAGAGGAGGAGAGGUAGUGGGAGAAGGAGGAAGAGUGAGUGGGUGAGUGAGGGAGACGAGAGAGGAGGGGCAGAAGCAGAGAGGCGAGGCGAGGAGAGCAGGGAGGCGGCAUGGGGUGUGGCUGAGGUGCGGGCGGGCAGGUGAGGGGUGCGUUAGGCGAGGUGGGGCGGAGUGGGGCGAGAUGCGUGGUAGUGGUGCUAGUGAUGGUGGAGGCAGUGGAGGCAGUAGGGGUGGUGGCAGGGGUGGAGGUGGUGCAGGAGGAAGUGUGCUGGUGCCCUGCCUCCGGCCACCCUACCAGUCGAUGCCUGGCCGUCCGCUCCGCGCCACACCCGCCUCGGCGUUGCCCUCACCUGUCGCUCCGCCUAACACACGGACACGCGCCCUCCCGCCCCGCCUCUCUUACCUGCCUCGACUCGAAGCUCGCGCCGCCCUCUCUUCUCCCCGUCCAGUCACUUCGGAGGCAGCGAUGGGGGUGCAUAGCGUGGCGUCAGGAUGUACAGUGAGCUCACGGUAUGCUGUUUGGAACUCGGCACUCUUUUGAGCAGUGGAGAUGUAUUAAUUUUUGAAGAGCGGGGGAACGUGUGAGUCGAGAGCUCGCUUGUUUACUUUCCCGUGUGGAGCUUGAGAAAACACAAGUCCGAGUCUUUUAGUGUGAGUCCGUGAGGAAGGAACAUCUACUCUGCUACUACACUGAGUUCUCUCUGUCUCUCUGCAUCUCCAUCUCAGCUGCUGGCAAGCUUAACGCAACAAAGACAAUCGAAAAGAUGAAAAUAAUGGCGCUGGAGGAAGAGUGAGUGAGAAGUGAGCGAAAAUGACCUACACGACCCAAACACCUUGUCGCGAAAUAGAGAAGUAACGAAAAAUAAAUUAAUAAAUACAAGAAAAGAAAUAAAAAAAAGAGACUGACAGAAAUACAGUGAUUGAGAGAGAGAGAGAGAGAGAGAGAGAGAGAGAGAGAGAGAGAGAGAGAGAGAGAGAGAGAGAGAGAGAGAGAGAGAGAGAGAGAGAGAGAGAGAGAGAGAGAGAGAGUUAAAAAAAGAAAAUUAUACCUGGAAGCACUUUUGGCAGAUAAGACACGAGAGAGAGAGAGAGAGAGAGAGAGAGAGAGAGAGAGAGAGAGAGAGAGAGAGAGAGAGAGAGAGAGAGAGAGAGUCAGUUCCGACCUUUCCUUGCGCCCUAUUGUUAGUUGGACGAAAGAGAGACGUGCGAGAAAUGAACUUUGAAAGAAGACGUGCCGGUGACAUCAACUGAAAGACACAACACAAAAGAGACGCAGAUAAAAAAAAGAGAGCCAAGUAAAAUCAACCCAUCUCUCUUUAACACAAAAAUAUCAACGAGUAAGAAAGAAAAAAGACAGAAAACAAAAAGAAACUAAACUAGAAGAUAAAGCUUCACUAAAGAUCCACUUAAUCUGGUGAGAGAAAGACACAGAGGAGGAGGAGGAGAGGAGAGUGAGAGAGAAAAAAAAGUGUGCCAAAAGUUUGCUUGGAAGUGAAGGAGAAAAAAACCAAGGGCACAGAGAGAGAGAGAGAGAGAGAGAGAGAGAGAGAGAGAGAGAGAGAGAGAGAGAGAGAGAGAGAGAGAGUGAGAGAGUAGAAAAUUGAUGACCUUCGGAUGCUUUUUCGAGUGCUAACCAGGGAUCAAUAUCGACUGCAACCUUUCACGAGCACAACCAAGCCAAGCCAAGCCAAGCGAGGAUAGGCAGGCAGGGACGUUGGCCUCACAAGAGCAUGAAGAGGCCGUCGACAAAGUGACAGCAAAGUGAAAGAGAAACAAGCACAAGAAAGAAAGCUAUUUAGGACUUUGAAAACUAGAAAAGGGUAAAAAGGGUGAAGAGAGAGAAAAUAAAAAAAGACACACAAACAAGUUGGCGAAAGCGCAAACCCGAGAUAAAUAGACCGCGGCAAAGUGAGUGAGAGAGAGAGGAAGAGAGAGAGAGAGAGAGAGAGAGAGAGAGAGAGAGAGAGAGAGAGAGAGAGAGAGAGAGAGAGAGAGAGAGAGAGAGAGAGAGAGAGAGAAAGAGAUUAGGUGAGUGGAGCGGCAAAGCACCCUAUCUCAAUUGCUCUCUUUAUCUCACUCACUUCCUAUACCUAACAAACACACACACACACACACACACACACACACACACACACACACACGGACACGCAAACACACACGUAAACAUUUGACGAGGAAGAAUGCAGCGACUGGAACCGGGAGUCGAGAGAGGAAGAAGAAGAGGAGCAGGAGGCGGCGGAGGAGGCGGAGGGGGACUAGGAGUGAGAGGAUCCCUGGCUCUGUUCUUCCCUCCCUACCUCUCACAUCUCCCCCGCCUUCUCAUGCUGCUCCAAGGGACUCUCCUAAUUGUUCACGCCUACGGGGACUAUGAAGAUAACUACAUCCACGACACGGGCGAAGGUAAGUCAGGUACCUUAAUGAACCUUGCCCCAGGUGACCGUGACUCACUCACUCCCUUGAGUCUUAAACGAGAUGAAGCCUUGUGCCUCCCUCUCACCCCCUCACCCCAAGAUCCCCGCGCGCUCCUCACCUCUCAUUCAGCCUCAUUAACGCCCUCCCUCAGGUGAGCACUUUGCCAGGUGUCGAGACUCUCGCCUUAACUCAGCGGCACAGGCAAGUCCCGGCAAGACCCCCGGACACCUGCCGAGUUAAGGGGAGCUCCCUGUCGGCGCCUGCAUCCCGUGUUCUAAGAGCAUUCACGGGCCUGGCGUCCCCCGCCCUUAGUUGAGGUCAAGGGAGGUGCACAUUAAAGGGCAUAAGCAAUGGUGAUGGCGGUGGCUGCGGUGGUCGUAGUGGUAGUGGCGGCGGAGAUUACAGCGGCCGUGGCAGUGGUGGUGAAUUUACGGGUAGUGUUGGUGGUGAUGAAACGACGCAUAAGGGUAGACGACGAGUUUCCGCCAUCAUCACGUCCCCUGUUUCUUUCCCCGAGUUUCAUUUCGUUUCAUCAAUUCGUCUUUUUCCCUUGCAUGUCUCUUUCGGAGCGGGUAACAAGAACACGCAGGCGCUCACAUCAUAAACUGCACCAGCUAAGCAUGCAAGUGUUGGCGUAAAAAAUGUACGAUAAAACCCAGAUGAAAACAUGGCACGGGUUAAGUUCUGAGAAAAUGCCUGGAAAUAUUUCUAUCGUAUAUACUUUACCACUAAAAACAAACAGCCUGCAAAAAUAAAUGAAAAGAAAGAGCUGUACAGAGUCGUAAAUAUGAAAGAUAUAUUUCGCGCUCAAAGAAAACAAGAAAAGAACACGGUAAAAAUUAUCGUCCGUAAUUUAAUUCCAUCGGUUAUGUCAACAAACCUUAUAAGUUGCCCUCUUGUCCCUCGUCCUCCUCUUCCUCGUCCUCUUCCUCCUCCUCCUCCUCCUCCUCCUCCUCCUCCUCCUCUCCCCACAAAUCUUCCUAAGAAUCUUUACUUUUCCUUUCUUCUUCUCCUUCAUUUUUACUUUUUUUUCUUCUCCCCAUCCUCCACAUUCUUCUAGCUUUUGAGGUUAUUCUUCUGCUUCUUUUUCUUUUAUAUUUUCCUCUUACAAAACUCCACCAUCCAUUAUUUGCAUUUUUCUUUUCUCUUAUUCUCUUUCUUUUUCAUUUUUUUUUAUCAAUUUUUGUCUUUAAUUCCUUCUUGUUCUUGUUCUUUUUCUUCUACUCAUCCUCCUCUUUGUUCUUGAUCUUCUUCCCUUCUUC